rnacentral:rRNA from 1 species
UACGAAGGGGGCGAGCGUUGUUCGGAUUUACUGGGCGUAAAGCGUGCGCAGGCGGUUUUGUAAGCCAGAUGUGAAAGCCCCGGGCUUAACCUGGGAAUGGCAUUUGGGACUGCAAGGCUGGAGUACGGCAGAGGGAGGUGGAAUUCCAGGUGUAGCAGUGAAAUGCGUAGAUAUCUGGAGGAACACCGAUGGCGAAGGCAGCCUCCUGGGCUAGUACUGACGCUCAUGCACGAAAGCGUGGGGAGCAAACAGG